rnacentral:lncRNA from 1 species
CAAAGAGCUACCUUGCCCCUUUGUCCAUGUGAGAACAUAGCUAGAACGUGCUGUCUGUGAGGAACAGGCCUUCACGAGAAACUGAAUCUGCUGGUGCUUUGAUCUUGGACUUCCCAGCUUCCAGAGCUGUUUUUCUGGAAACCGCUGUAAAAAAGGAAAGCAACUUCAACACGCAUUUCUAACUCAUUGAUAUGCCAAGUUCCUUUUGGAAUGAUAAGUUGCCAAGGACCAAAGCACUGUGACUUGUCAUCCCCAGUGAAUGAGAGGAAGAGGUGGUGUGGAAAGAACAUCCUGUUGUGCAGAACCUCAGUAACUAAAGUGUUGUCAUCUCACAUUAUUUUUUUUUGUCAUUAGUGCAUCUGUUUAAUCUUAUACUGCCCCUGAUACUACAUGGUUGACUUAGAUAACUAAAAUCCAGAUGAUCCAAACAAGCUGGAGCAAAAGAAAAGCAGUACAGUUUGAGCGAAUUCCUUACUUCACAGUCCUAAGUGGUAAUAGUAGCGCACGAGACAGUUCUGAGUCUCACAAGCCCCAUCUUCCAGCUCCUGAAGAUCUUGGAAUGUUAUAAUGCCAAUCCCAAUGACUUUGCCUUAGCUCACCUAUCAGACCCAUGGCAUUACCAGAAACAAUAUAGUUCUAUUUUAGAAAAAUACAUAGUUUGAGAAUAUCAAGCACUAUAGAA